UACAAAUUUGUAAGAUACUUAUUAUAUUUUAUUUCAGUUUGCAAAAUAAAGGUCAGCACAGGGGUUGUGGUUGUAUUGGCAAUGACCUGGUGUUACAACAAUAGGAACAUACAUCAUAAAUGUAUAGUCAAUACCAAUCAGAGCAUGACUUGAACAAUUUUUUGCUCAACGGCCAGGGUGCCUACUUACUAGCAGCUCAGCAAUUUCAUUAGCCACAAUUUUUGUUGUUGGGAAAUUUAGAUUAAUUUGAUUUAAAGUUGACUACAUUUUCCUACAAUUCACUUAAAGAACUAGAUUUAAAAUCCUUUCAACUUUAAUUCAUCCAGAAUGCAGCAGCUCAACUGGUCUUUAACCUUCCAAAAUUCUCCCACACUACUCCACUCCUCCGCUCUCUUCACUGGCUACCGCACUUAAAUUGUACUUAUAACGCCAUCUAUAGCAAAUUGUAAAUUGGCUUAUUUGAAGAAAAUUGCACUUUCUUGUUCUUCUGAGUUUGUACCCUAUGGUUGAAUGCACUUAAUGUAAGUCGCUUUGAAUAAAAGCGUCAGCUAAAUGACAUGUAAUGUAAUGUAAAAUUACCAUUGUAAACAUCCAAAUCAAGACUACAUAAAAUGUGUGUAUGUAUAGUCACCAAAUCUCCUGCUCUUAUAAGUUUGAAGCUCCUUUUGUAUGAAAACAUCUGCAACUGAUAAAAUCAAAGAAAAGGAGCUCGUUGCAUAUAACUGGUACAGGGGCUUCAUGAGGACCAAUGGACCUAGACGCAACACUUUGUUGUCUUCCUCCGCUUGUACGCAAUGCUCCAUCCAUCCAUUAUCAAACCGCUUAUCCUGCACACAGGGUCGCGGGGGGGCUGGAGUCCAUCCCAGCCAACUUUGGGCGAUAGACAGGGUACAUCCUGGAUUGGUCGCCAGCCAAUCGCAGGGCUACACCGAGACAUACAACCAUUCACACUCACACAUCUACGUGCAAUUUAAAGUCCCCAAUUAACCUGAUCCCCAGAGCAUGACUUUGGACUGUGGGAGGAAGCUGGAGUACCCGGGGAGAACCCACGCAGACACGGGGAGAACAUGCAGACUCCACACAGAAAGGCCACUGGGCGGAGUCAAACCCAGGACCUUCUUGCUGUGAGGCGACAGUGCUAACCACCACGCCACCGUUGCGCCCCUCUUGCUCAUGUCCCACAAUAUCUCAUUGUCCUUUAUUGUUUCCACUGUGAACUUGCUUGUUCCAACUACAAGAGAC
ensembl:lncRNA